rnacentral:lncRNA from 1 species
AUUUUUAGUUAAAAUACCCUCUUUUAAAAUUAAAUAUAUAUCCAUCCCCUCCAUAUAAUAGUCAUAUCAUUGAUUUAGAACGUUAUUUUAAAUUUUAUUCUAGGAUUUAUAUUAAUUUAUUAGGACCUAACUUUUAAUUAUCUUAGGAUUUAAUCUUUCUAGUAUGUUUAGGAUAGUUUAUUAUUUUUAAUUCUUUAUUUCUUUUUUCUUUUUAUAAUUAUCAAUGAUGUGUGUUCAAGUGUGCUUCUAAGGUUUGGAUGG